rnacentral:tRNA from 1 species
UAGCUUGGUGGUUCAGCACUUGGCUGCUAACCAGAAGAUUGGUGGUUCAAACCCACC